rnacentral:rRNA from 1 species
GGCAGGCUUAACACAUGCAAGUCGAGCGCCCCGCAAGGGGAGCGGCAGACGGGUGAGUAACGCGUGGGAAUCUACCCAUCUCUACGGAAUAACGCAUGGAAACGUGUGCUAAUACCGUAUACGUCCUUUUGGAGAAAGAUUUAUCGGAGAUGGAUGAGCCCGCGUUGGAUUAGCUAGUUGGUGGGGUAAAGGCCUACCAAGGCGACGAUCCAUAGCUGGUCUGAGAGGAUGAUCAGCCACACUGGGACUGAGACACGGCCCAGACUCCUACGGAAGGCAGCAGUGGGGAAUAUUGGACAAUGGGCGCAAGCCUGAUCCAGCCAUGCCGCGUGAGUGAUGAAGGCCCUAGGGUUGUAAAGCUCUUUCACCGGUGAAGAUAAUGACGGUAACCGGAGAAGAAGCCCCGGCUAACUUCGUGCCAGCAGCCGCGGUAAUACGAAGGGGGCUAGCGUUGUUCGGAUUUACUGGGCGUAAAGCGCACGUAGGCGGACUAUUAAGUCAGGGGUGAAAUCCCGGGGCUCAACCCCGGAACUGCCUUUGAUACUGGUAGUCUUGAGUUCGAGAGAGGUGAGUGGAAUUCCGAGUGUAGAGGUGAAAUUCGUAGAUAUUCGGAGGAACACCAGUGGCGAAGGCGGCUCACUGGCUCGAUACUGACGCUGAGGUGCGAAAGCGUGGGGAGCAACAGGAUUAGAUACCCUGGUAGUCCACGCCGUAAACUAUGAGAGCUAGCCGUCGGGCAGUAUACUGUUCGGUGGCGCAGCAAACGCAUUAAGCUCUCCGCCUGGGGAGUACGGUCGCAAGAUUAAAACUCAAAGGAAUUGACGGGGGCCCGCACAAGCGGUGGAGCAUGUGGUUUAAUUCGAAGCAACGCGCAGAACCUUACCAGCCCUUGACAUCCCGAUCGCGGUUACCAGAGAUGGUUUCCUUCAGUUAGGCUGGAUCGGUGACAGGUGCUGCAUGGCUGUCGUCAGCUCGUGUCGUGAGAUGUUGGGUUAAGUCCCGCAACGAGCGCAACCCUCGCCCUUAGUUGCCAUCAUUCAGUUGGGCACUCUAAGGGGACUGCCGGUGAUAAGCCGAGAGGAAGGUGGGGAUGACGUCAAGUCCUCAUGGCCCUUACGGGCUGGGCUACACACGUGCUACAAUGGUGGUGACAGUGGGCAGCGAGACCGCGAGGUCGAGCUAAUCUCCAAAAGCCAUCUCAGUUCGGAUUGCACUCUGCAACUCGAGUGCAUGAAGUUGGAAUCGCUAGUAAUCGUGGAUCAGAAUGCCACGGUGAAUACGUUCCCGGGCCUUGUACACACCGCCCGUCACACCAUGGGAGUUGGUUUUACCCGAAGGUGCUGUGCUAACCGCAAGGAGGCAGGCAACCACGGUAGGGUCAGCGACUGGGGUGA